rnacentral:rRNA from 1 species
UACGAAGGGGGCUAGCGUUGCUCGGAAUCACUGGGCGUAAAGGGCGCGUAGGCGGAUCUUUAAGUCGGGGGUGAAAGCCCAGGGCUCAACCCUGGAAUUGCCUUCGAUACUGGAGAUCUUGAGACCGGAAGAGGUAAGUGGAACUGCGAGUGUAGAGGUGAAAUUCGUAGAUAUUCGCAAGAACACCAGUGGCGAAGGCGGCUCACUGGUCCGGUACUGACGCUGAGGUGCGAAAGCGUGGGGAGCAAACAGG